ACGGAUGCGGAAACCGAGACGGCCUGGAUGGAAAACUCUUUCAAGGAAGACCCCAGGGCCCUGAACGGAAUUCCGGAUAUUUUCUCUAAAACGUACUACACCUGCCUUUUCCCACGUUAGUUAAUGGCAACUCCACCCUCCACACGUUCAGGCCAAAAACUCGACGCAGACUUUGAUCCACACAACUAUUCUCUUUCUUGGUCUGAAUUUUGGCAAACGACAAGCAAGGCAUAGAGAUCGCUUCAACUCGCUACCCGCGGCUCGCCCAGACGUUAGGGUUUUAGGCCGCCGUUAGACUUUGGCCCUGCAGGUCAAAAUCAGCUACUCUAGGCCUGUCUUCUCGGAGGCCAGUAGCAGCACCUGGUCCUCUCCGCGCGGCUUCUCCCGCCGGGUACGCAACCCUGCACCUCUUUCCUGUGACCUGCAGCGAAGCUCGGCGGGGGACCGGGUAUUCAACUGGCCAGGAGUUCUCGAGGCGCAGGUGCGGGUGUGCAGGGACGCGCGCGGUGAGUUUGCAGUUCCUGCGGGCUCCAGCAACAUCCCGGGUCAGUCCGAACUCCGAAGGCGCCAAGGCAGGGAGGGACCGGUAGGUGAAGGGCAGCCGCCCUCUUGCGCCCUGUUUCAGUCCUCCAGUCGCUGUUGAAUGGAGUUUCCGUCUCCAGUCUCAGCCAAAGCAGGCAAGGCGGACAACCUCGGCCUGGCAACCAGAAGUAUCAUUCCUUGAUUCAGGAUCAGGCUCAAGAGUUAACCCACCUACGGCAGAAGAUGAAGCUUGGGAGAGUGGCCUCUGCUCUUCUCAUCCAGCAUGUCAAGAACACACUAAAGACCUUUGAGGAGCUACUCCAGAGCAAUAACAUUGACCACUAUAUGGAGCAGCACUACUGCGAGCAGCUGGCCAAAGGAAGCCAGCUGGCAGAGAGCCUUGCCAGAAAAUUCAGCACAGUAUCUUGAGGAAGAUGCAUAAUAUGAGUAAAGUGACAGAAGUCCUAGAGACCAAGUGGGAUGCCCAGUCCCAGACUCAGCCCCAGAUCUGGUGCAGCAACCACACCCGGUCUACCCCACAUCACUCCCUGAGCAGCACGUCUCCACAGCUUGACAAGGAGGAAGUGCAUCCUUCAGUGACUGCAGUCAAUGCCAGCCCUGCCAUUUCUGCUGAUUCAGCUGCUUUGCCCAGCAACCAAGGAACCAGGUCUGCCCAGCCCUUCCAUCCUUCGAGCGGCACUGGCCCAGCAGAGCAGGACACUAGAACACGGUAGCAGUGGCCCAUGGGAAGAGAUGAGGCCUCAAAAAAUGAAUGCAUCUGGAG
rnacentral:lncRNA from 1 species